rnacentral:misc_RNA from 1 species
GUUUCGGGUUCGGAGAUAUAUGGAUUUGGUAAAACAGGGGGCAGAGUCCCCGUCGGUAUUGGGCGGCGGAGGUUGAGGAUUGUUGUCACCGGUGGAGCUGGAUUUGUGGGAAGUCAUCUUGUGGAUAAGCUAAUUGAAAGAGGGGAUGAUGUGAUUGUUAUUGAUAACUUCUUCACCGGUAGAAAGGAUAAUUUAGUGCAUCAUCUGGGAAAUCCUCGAUUCGAGCUCAUUCGACAUGAUGUUGUUGAGCCAAUUCUUU